AUACGGAGGGUGCAAGCGUUAUCCGGAUUUACUGGGUUUAAAGGGUGCGUAGGCGGCGGCGUAAGUCAGAAGUGAAAGUUGGCAGCUUAACUGCAAAAUUGCUUUUGAUACUGCGUGGCUUGAAUCAGGUUGAGGUUGGCGGAAUGUGGCAUGUAGCGGUGAAAUGCUUAGAUAUGCCAUAGAACACCGAUUGCGAAGGCAGCUGACUGGACCUGUAUUGACGCUGAGGCACGAAAGCGUGGGGAGCGAACAGGAUUAGAUACCCCAGUAGUCC
rnacentral:rRNA from 1 species